CCUACGGGAGGCAGCAGUGAGGAAUAUUGGUCAAUGGUCGGGAGACUGAACCAGCCAAGCCGCGUGAGGGAUGAAGGUACAGAGUAUCGUAAACCUCUUUUGUCAGGGAACAAAGGCGGGGACGUGUCCCCGGAUGAGUGUACCUGAAGAAAAAGCAUCGGCUAACUCCGUGCCAGCAGCCGCGGUAAUACGGGGGAUGCGAGCUUUAUCCGGAUUUAUUGGGUUUAAAGGGUGCGAAGGCGGUCUGUUAAGUCAGCGGGCAAAGCCCGGGGCUCAACCCCGGCCCGCCGUUGAAACUGGCAGUCUCGAGUUGGAGAGAAGUAUGCGGAAUGCGCGGUGUAGCGGUGAAAUGCAUAGAUAUCGCGCAGAACUCCGAUUGCGAAGGCAGCAUGCCGGCUCCACACUGACGCUGAGGCACGAAAGCGUGGGUAUCGAACAGGAUUAGAUACCCCAGUAGUC
rnacentral:rRNA from 1 species